AGCUAGCGCAACCAAAUCCGUCGCAAACUUUAAUCGUCCGUCUUAUUUUAUUUUUUAUUAAUUUUUUAUUUUUAUUAGAUAAUAAAACAUGAAUAGUACUUUAUUCGUGACUUAUAUAUUUUUUAUUUUUAAAGUAAAAUUCAAAUAAGAUGGACUAUUUAAGUUGGAUACGGAAACUCAUUGCUGUAUCUAAA
rfam:Oryza glaberrima chromosome 11 Oglab11_0307_5, whole genome shotgun sequence.